rfam:Enterobacter sp. 638, complete genome.
AAUAGGCGUUUAAGGUAUGCUGGCAGAGCGCCGAACGCACGCAGUCGUCUUUGGUAAAACGCACCACACCCACCAUAUCGUCUUCAACAAAACGUGACAUAGCGUCGCUCAGGCCAGACUUCACGCCCGACGGCAAAUCGCAUUGGGUGAUAUCGCCAUUGACGAUAACCGUCACAUUUUCCCCGAGGCGCGUU